UGGCAAAAUGGCUAAGUGCUUGGCUGCUAACCAAAAGGUUGGUGGUUCGAACCCACC
rnacentral:tRNA from 1 species